UUCAUCGAAAAAUAUUUUUUUUUUUCAGCUAGAAUAUAUAUUUUUUAUUUUUAUUUUCUGGUGUUUGGCAACGGUCUAGGUCGAGGUUGAGGUCAAGUCGAUCGGAUGGAUGGAUAAGUUUUUUUGUUAGGUUUAAAUAUCUCCUUUCUUCGUAAAAACCAAAAAAAAAAAAAAAUUCCUCUAAACAAACGGAGCCUUAGUAACUCGCAGCUGGCUACAGGCAGGUUGUUCUAUGCCUCCAGUGCUUGCAUCUACUCUGAAUUUAAGCAACUGGAAACUAAUGUGAGCUUGAAGGAAUCUGAUGCAUGGCCUGGGGAGGUUUGAUACUCUUUUGAGUCAAUGACAAUAUAAUCUAAUUGUAUUUUGUUUUGUAAUAUAUUAUUAAUAUUAGAUAAAUUUCAUUUUAUGUUUAGCCUCAAGAUGCAUAUGGCUUGGAGAAACUGGCAACAGAAAAGUUAUGCAAGCAUUACAACAAAGAUUUUGGAAUAGAAUGUCGGAUUGGGAUGUUCCAUAACAUUUAUGGUCCCUUCGGGACAUGGAAAGGUGGGAGAGAAAAGGCACCUGAUGCUUUUUGAAGAAAAGCUAAUACAUCUAUGGAUAAGUUUGAGAUGUGGGGAGAUGGACUUCAAACUUGAUCUUUCACUUUCAUUGAUGAGUGUGUUGAAGGUGUGCUGAGGCAAAAGUCAAUGUGUAUGAGCAAUUUUUCAUAUGAUGUGCGCAUGAUAGCACGCACAUGGUUGUAUACCUCAUUUCCUUUCCUUAAUUGCAUUACCAUUUUGGAUUAAACCUAGAUUGACAAAGUCAGACUUCCGGGAGCCAGUGAACAGUGGAAGCGAUGAGAUGUUAGCAUGAAUGAGAUGUCCGUGGUCGUAACUCAGACAACACACUGAUCAAAGAGAAACUUGGUUGGGCUCCAACUAUGAAACUGAAGGAUGGUUGAGAAUUACUUACUUCUGGAUCAAAGACCAGAUUGAAAAGGAGAAAACUCAGGGUGUGGAUUUGUCAGUUUAUGGCUCUUCCAAGGUUGUGGGAACCCAAGCCCCUGUCCAACUCAGAUCCCUUCGUGCUGCUGAUGGCAAGGAAUGAAUUGGUUGGAAGCCAGUCAGAUCUUCUAGUUGCAGUUAGUAAAGGUGUUUCUUUUAUUAUAUAUUUCUAUUAGUGAUAUGUCUACUAUAUAUAUUUUGUAACAAAUCUGCUCUUGGAUAGUAUAGUACCUUAUGAAAUCUAUUUGUGGUCUAAUGCAUUGAU